rnacentral:rRNA from 1 species
UACGUAGGGUGCGAGCGUAAUCGGAAUUACUGGGCGUAAAGCGUGCGCAGGCGGUUUUGUAAGCCAGAUGUGAAAUCCCCGGGCUCAACCUGGGAAUGGCAUUUGGGACUGCAAGGCUGGAGUGCGGCAGAGGAGACUGGAAUCCUGGUGUAGCAGUGAAAUGCGUAGAUAUCAGGAGGAAUACCGAUGGCGAAGGCAGGUCUCCGUGG